rnacentral:lncRNA from 1 species
UCGGAUUCCAAGGUCCGGCUCCCAAAAUUGGGCAGUCACUUUUCUCUGGAGCAGGCACCAAGCUGUUCCAGUCGCCCACGACAAAGCAGAGGACAGAAUCU